rnacentral:piRNA from 1 species
UUCUACCUAGACUGAUGACAGGGAAGGGA